ACCGCCGCCGCCGUCAGCUGACCCGGGGAGGAGCGGAGCGGCCCCGCCGCGCGGACAACCGCGGCUGGCUGCGGGAAGAAACGGAGGGGGAUCCCGAUGUGUUGGUGGCUUGCUGAAGGUUUCUCUGAUGUUUGAAGGCAUCAGUUUUCCACUUAUGAGCUGCUAAGGGAUCCUGGAGUGUUUACAGGAGAUGGAGAGGUCCUUUGGAUUAAGCACAUCCAGGAAAGGCAACACCACUGUCCCAAGUUUAUAUCUGCUCGAGAAGCGUUUCCUGAAAAACAAGUAGGGACCUAAAAACUGGAAAACUGAACCUAAAAAGCUGGCAAAGCAACUCUGAAAUAGUACUGAGGAGAACAUCAUCACUACCCAUGCUUUCUGGAAGUUUUCUGGGUUUUCUGGGCAUUAUUUUGGUGCAUGGUGACUUGUCUGGAGCCUGUCAGCACCAAAGAAGGUACCAGAUAUUCCAAGACUCCGUGGAAGCACGGAUUUAAAACGUGUGGAUGGAUGACAAAGAGCUCAGCCAACCAUGUGAAAUAUUGCCAUCUAACAGCUUUUUGGGGAGAUUUCGCCUAAACUGAAUUGGCAGCCUGGAGUUCAGCAAGCAAAGUAUGCAAAUGAAAAUUGAUACUCCUCUUAGCAACUGGAAGCGAAAGGGCAGGGCCGGAGCGCGCUCCGGGAUGAACUCAGCCCUCGGAGAUGGAGACGGAGGUGCACUGAUGGGAAAAGUGCCCGGCUCUUCUGUCUGCGGCGCGUCCCUCGCAUGGAUAAAUACACCACUCGCUGUUCAUCACUGUCAGGAAAAUUGUCACUUCUCACGAGCGCCACAUUAAUUAAAAGUGAGAGUUAGGGCCGGGGAGCUGAGCGCUCGGAAUCCUUCGGAAGGGGGAUGGAGUGGUGCGUUCUGAGCGUGUCGUGCGCUCUGGGGCCACUGCUGCCGCUCAGUGAAACGAAACGGGUGCCAGAACGAGGGGAAAUCAAUCUGAACUCGUGGGAAAUUAAUUGAUUUCCAAACCUCUUGUAGCCCUUGCCCCCUUCAGCCAACGGGGCCGUGUAAGGUCGGCAGACCGGCUUGUGAAACUGCGUAGCAGAAUAAAAAUUGUAUUUAUCGACUUUGA